rnacentral:rRNA from 1 species
UAGGGAAUCUUCCACAAUGGGCGCAAGCCUGAUGGAGCAACACCGCGUGAGUGAAGAAGGGUUUCGGCUCGUAAAGCUCUGUUGUUGGAGAAGAACGUGCGUGAGAGUAACUGUUCAUGCUAGUGACGGUAUCCAACCAGAAAGUCACGGCUAACUACGUGCC